GACGAACGCUGGCGGCGUGCUUAACACAUGCAAGUCGUACGGUAAGGCCCUUUCGGGGGUACCCGAGUGGCGAACGGGUGAGUAACACGUGAGUAACCUGCCCACAACUUUGGGAUAACGCUAGGAAACUGGUGCUAAUACUGGAUAUGUGCUCCUGCUGCAUGGUGGGGGUUGGAAAGCUCCGGCGGUUGUGGAUGGACUCGCGGCCUAUCAGCUUGUUGGUGGGGUAGUGGCCUACCAAGGCGGCGACGGGUAGCCGGCCUGAGAGGGUGACCGGCCACAUUGGGACUGAGAUACGGCCCAGACUCCUACGGGAGGCAGCAGUGGGGAAUAGUGCACAAUGGGCGCAAGCCUGAUGCAGCAACGCCGCGUGCGGGAUGACGGCCUUCGGGUUGUAAACCGCUUUCAGCAGGGACGAAGCUUUUUGUGACGGUACCUGCAGAAGAAGCACCGGCUAACUACGUG
rnacentral:rRNA from 1 species